UACAGAGGGUGCAAGCGUUAAUCGGAAUUACUGGGCGUAAAGCGUGCGUAGACGGUUACGUAAGUCGGAUGUGAAAGCCCCGGGCUCAACCCGGGAAUUGCACUCGAGACUGCGUAGCUAGGGUGCGGAAGAGGGAAGCGGAAUUUCCGGUGUAGCGGUGAAAUGCGUAGAUAUCGGAAGGAACAUCAGUGGCGAAAGCGGCUUCCUGGUCCAGCACCGACGUUCAGGCACGAAAGCGUGGGGAGCAAACAGG
rnacentral:rRNA from 1 species